GUACUGCUGAGGGGUCCAACAAUAGGACGAAACGGCCGUCCAGUGC
rfam:Schistosoma margrebowiei strain Zambia genome assembly, scaffold: SMRZ_contig0002760